rnacentral:rRNA from 1 species
ACAUCCUGCGGGAGGCAGCAGUGGGGAAUUUUGGACAAUGGGCGAAAGCCUGAUCCAGCAAUGCCGCGUGUGUGAAGAAGGCCUUCGGGUUGUAAAGCACUUUUGUCCGGAAAGAAAUCCUUGGCUCUAAUACAGUCGGGGGAUGACGGUACCGGAAGAAUAAGCACCGGCUAACUACGUGCCAGCAGCCGCGGUAAUACGUAGGGUGCGAGCGUUAAUCGGAAUUACUGGGCGUAAAGCGUGCGCAGGCGGUUUGCUAAGACCGAUGUGAAAUCCCCGGGCUCAACCUGGGAACUGCAUUGGUGACUGGCAGGCUAGAGUAUGGCAGAGGGGGGUAGAAUUCCACGUGUAGCAGUGAAAUGCGUAGAGAUGUGGAGGAAUACCGAUGGCGAAGGCAGCCCCCUGGGCCAAUACUGACGCUCAUGCACGAAAGCGUGGGGAGCAAACAGGAUUAGAAACCCGAGUAGUCCC